rnacentral:rRNA from 1 species
AUACGGAGGGUGCGAGCGUUAAUCGGAAUUACUGGGCGUAAAGAGUACGUAGGUGGUUUGGUCAGUCGGAUGUGAAAGCCCCGGGCUCAACCUGGGAACUGCAUUCGAUACUGGCAGGCUAGAGUAUAGUAGAGGCAAGUGGAAUUCCGGGUGUAGCGGUGAAAUGCGUAGAUAUCUGGAGGAACAUCAGUGGCGAAGGCGACUUGCUGGACUAAUACUGACGCUGAGGAGCGAAAGCGUGGGGAGCAAACGGGAUUAGAAACCCCGGUAGUCC